rnacentral:lncRNA from 1 species
CACGAGCUGGCCUUCUCUCGUCUGAUCGUGGAGCUGCGGCGGCUGCACCCAGGCCACGUGCUGCCCGACGAGGAGCUGCAGUGGGUGUUCGUGAAUGCGGGUGGCUGGAUGGGCGCCAUGUGCCUUCUGCACGCCUCGCUGUCCGAGGCGCUACUGGGCUGAGAUCUCGGAUACCAUCAUCUCUGGCACCUUCCACCAGUGGAGAGAGGGCACCACCAAAAGUGAGGUCUUCUACCCAGGUGGGUAAGAAGGCUCUGUCAGAGAAGUGGGUCCCUUCACGCGGGGGGUGCCCACAAUUGCGGGGAGCAUGGCAUGGAAAAGGAGUGUGUUGGGGGGGCCCUCCUCAUGGUUCCCUUCCUCCACCCUCCCAUAAGCCACAGGUGAUUGGUUGGGGCAGAGCUGAGGGACUCUUGCUUUCCUCUGUCAAGGGGAAACAAAACAUAACAACUUCCUAUUAAACAUGUCUGAUUUUUAUCUGCCCAGGC